UAAAGUUGAUAAUUACCACAGUCUCUUCUGU
rnacentral:piRNA from 1 species